CUUGGAUUUCUUAAGAAACAGCCAAGUCUUUGUGUCUGCUUCUCUGGACCCACCGCAGCCCUGGCCAGAGGCAGGCAUGGGGCGCCACGUUGAGAGAGCUUCCUAGAGGACUCACCGUUGGCCGGUGCAGGCUGCAAAAUGUGCGCAGUGGCGGAGAGACGCUCCUCCAGCCAUGUGCACGGCGACAAUCCCAGGCCAGGACAGCUGAUGGUUGUGGCAGAAACAUCUCAAGGUAGCUGGUCCGCCCCCACUUCCCCAUCUACCUCUUGUCCUCCCCCCAACACCACCACCACCCUGGCUCCCCUCCCUCAUGACCGCCUGGAUCCUCCUGCCUGUCAGCCUGUCAGCGUUCUCCAUCACUGGCAUAUGGACUGUGUAUGCCAUGGCUGUGAUGAACCACCAUGUAUGCCCUGUGGAGAACUGGUAUGAAGGACUCUGCAGACAACCUUGCUCUAAAGCUUCCUUCAUCUCUGUCCCCUCUUGGGCCUGAGGCUGCCACGAGCCAGACUGCAACCCUGAGCCUCACUGCUCUUCUCUGAAAUUGGUCCCCAGGCAUGGCUUCUUGCCACCUACCCACUUCCCACUAUCCCUUUGCCC
rnacentral:lncRNA from 1 species